rnacentral:rRNA from 1 species
GACGAACGCUGGCGGCGUGCUUCAUACAUGCAAGUCGAACGAGAAGCUGACUUCGGUCAGUGGAAAGUGGCGGACGGGGGAGUAAUAUGUAGGAAAUCUGCCUUUAGGAGGGGGACAACAGAGGGAAACUUCUGCUAAUACCCCAUAUGAGCGUAGCUGAAAUGCUAUUCUUGAAAACUCCGGUGCCUAAAGAUGAGCCUGCAUCUGAUUAGCUAGUUGGUAGUGUAAUGGACUACCAAGGCGACGAUCAGUAGCUGGUUUGAGAGGAUGAUCAGCCACAAUGGGACGGAGACACGGCCCAUACUCCUACGGGAGGCAGCAGUAGGGAAUUUUGCGCAAUGGGCGAAAGCCUGACGCAGCCACGCCGCGUGAACGAUUAAGCCCUUCGGGGUGGAAAGUUCUGUCAGUGGGGACGAAACUUGACGGUACCCACAGAGGAAGCACCGGCUAACUCCGUG